AGCUACUCCCAAAAAUGUUACCUUUUGUGUGAGCAACCUUUGAAGUGUUUAGCUUAACUCCAGGAUUUUUCAAUUAAGCCAAAAAAUUAAGUUAAAAAAAAAAUUCAUAUGUUGUUGUUUUGCCCCAGAAGGUGGACUUAGUGAUAGGUCAGUAAAUCUCACUGAAGCUCCUGUGUUAGUACAAUUCUUUGUCUGUUGCCUUGCCAUAAUUUCAUUCACGUAAGGGCAUCCUGCAUGGUCCAUGAAUGUGUUGCAAAUAGGAACCAUGCCAUCCAGUUAGUUAUUCCAAAAAUGAAAUCAGAGGAACUUCACCCUCUUCAUUCAUUUUAGAGUUGCUAGUCACUGUUCCCUGUACAGUCAUCAUUCUCAGAGCCUCCUGCGCAGGACCGUAUAGAUUGGUCUUAGGCAGGGGGUGAGAAUGGCGUCCCUGAGCUGUUUUAUCCGGGGGUUUAUUUCGGUCAAUCUUUUCGUAUACAUUUUGACCUAUUCUUUCUUUGAAAGGCCCAGAGGGAUAAGCAUGCCAUCCCUCAGUCAUCCUUUGAUCUAUCUUUGCCUUUCUACACUCUUUCUGUCUAUGACCACGUUUGUUGCAAUAAUAACAAGUACCUCUGAAUGGAAUCUCUGAGAGAGCUUGCCUCCCUUCAUUAGUAGCCAUAAUUGCCACCUUGUGGUGUAAUGUAACACCUUUCCUAAUUAAAUUUUGUCUAGCUUUUCCUAUAAUAGUUAGAACUCCUUCCAGAGUGUCUUUUUCAUCUGCUAUCAUUUGCACUCCGGGAUCUAAAUAAGUGAAUUUUUUUAUCAGGUAUUGCAGUAAAUCACGAGGGGUUUGAUCUUGUGGUAUACGGUGGGUUAAUCUGUACACUUGUUCAAAUUUAGAUGCAAAAACCCAAGGAUCAUCCUGUAAGUGUACCUUCAUUUCAGCAAGUGAAUGACUGUCUAAAUCUCUUUCUCCGGUAAUCAAUUUGGAGAUUGCUCUAAGCCUGUCUCCUUCUGUCCCCCAUUUGUCCUCUUUGAACCAAUCUUGAUCCCGAUUAAUGGGCCCAUUUAUGGGGGAAUUUAAUCUGCAUGCAAUGCUGCUUGGUGCCCACAUUUUAAGCAUAAUACAUGCCUCUUUAGGAGAGAGCAUAUAUUGUUUGACUGCAGAUUCAAAGUUGGACAUGUUUGAAAUUACAUCUAUU